rnacentral:rRNA from 1 species
GAUGAACGCUGGCGGCGUGCUUAACACAUGCAAGUCGAGCGAGAAGUUUUGAAAAGAUUCUUCGGAUGAAAUUUAAAAUGGAAAGCGGCGGACGGGUGAGUAACGCGUAGGCAACCUGCCCCAUACAAAGGGAUAGCAUUUGGAAACGAAUAUUAAUACCUUAUGAAACUUAACUAGUGCAUGCUAGGUAGGCCAAAGAUUUAUCGGUAUGGGAUGGGCCUGCGUCUGAUUAGCUAGUUGGUGAGGUAACGGCUCACCAAGGCGACGAUCAGUAGCCGACCUGAGAGGGUGAACGGCCACAUUGGAACUGAGACACGGUCCAAACUCCUACGGGAGGCAGCAGUGGGGAAUAUUGCACAAUGGGGGAAACCCUGAUGCAGCAACGCCGCGUGAACGAUGAAGGCCUUUGGGUCGUAAAGUUCUGUUCUAGGUGAUGAAAACUGACAGUAACCUAGGAGAAAGCCCCGGCUAACUCCGUG